UACGUAGGGUGCGAGCGUUAAUCGGAAUUACUGGGCGUAAAGUGUGCGCAGGCGGCCGAGCAAGUCGAGUGUGAAAGCCCCGGGCUUAACCUGGGAACUGCGCUCGAAACUACUUGGCUGGAGUGUGGCAGAGGGAGGUGGAAUUCCACGUGUAGCGGUGAAAUGCGUAGAGAUGUGGAGGAACACCGAUGGCGAAGGCAGCCUCCUGGGCCAACCACUGACGCUCAUGCACGAAAGCUAGGGGAGCAAACAGG
rnacentral:rRNA from 1 species